UGGCAAUGUCUUUUGGGCUCUUGGCAUCCUCUGGCCCAACACACUGAGGAGUAAGCCUCUGGAAUCGUACAGGCUUUUACCCAGGGAGAACAGAAGGAGUGGGAACUGGCAUUAUAGUUAAUUUUCCUGGCAGGCAAGAGUUAUUGGCAUAACAAGUUGUACUAUUUAUGGGGAAGAGGGCUGCAAAGUAGAGGUAAGUAAACCAUCUCAGAAUAUAUGAGACAGGUCAAUGAGCAGAGGUAAAUAAAAGCAUGGUGAGCAAGUAGACCGG
rnacentral:lncRNA from 11 species